rnacentral:rRNA from 1 species
UACGGGGGGGGCAAGCGUUGUUCGGAAUUACUGGGCGUAAAGGGCGCGUAGGCGGUCCGCUAAGUUGGAUGUGAAAACUCUGGGCUUAACCCAGAGCCUGCAUUCAAAACUGACGGGCUGGAGUUCUGGAGGGGAUAGCGGAAUUCCUGGUGUAGCGGUGAAAUGCGUAGAGAUCGGGAGGAACAUCUGUGGCGAAGGCGACUGCCUGGACCAGCACUGACACUGAGGCACGAAAGCGUGGGGAGCAAACAGG